rnacentral:rRNA from 1 species
AUGAAAAUUAGUGGAUGGAAGGAAAAAUUGUUAUCCUCUGGAGGGAAGAAAAUUAUGCUCAAAUCUGUUGUACAAGCCAUCCCCACCUAUGCCAUGUCCGUCUUUAAAAUUCCUAAAAAAAUCUGCAAAGGAAUUAUUGAUGCGAUGUCGCAAUUUUGGUGGGGUGACGAGGACAACCAGAAGAGGAUGCAUUGGAUGGCAUGGUGGAAAAUGUGUGUUCCAAAAGAUCAAGGAGGUAUGGGCUUCCGAGAUAUACACUGUUUCAACCUGGCUCUAUUAGCUAAACAAGCGUGGCGUCUUCUUGAUAAUCCUGAAUCUUUAUGUGCAACCAUAUUGAGAGUUAAAUAUUUCCCUGAGGGAGAUUUG